UACAGAGGUCCCGAGCGUUGUUCGGAUUCAUUGGGCGUAAAGGGUGCGUAGGUGGCGCUGUAAGUGGGGUGUGAAAUCCCGGGGCUUAACCCCGGGACUGCAUUCCAUACUGCGGUGCUUGAGGACUGGAGAGGAAACUGGAAUUUACGGUGUAGCAGUGAAAUGCGUAGAGAUCGUAAGGAAGACCAGUGGCGAAGGCGGGUCUCUGGACAGUUCCUGACACUGAGGCACGAAGGCCAGGGGAGCAAACGGG
rnacentral:rRNA from 1 species